AGUCAGGUGCCAAAACCCUGCUUUAGGAUUUAGGGUAAUUACUGCUAAUUUAUGCUAGCAGGUAUGCCUCAUUAACUCCAGACAGGAUCUAAAGGAGGUGUUUCUUUGAACUAAAGGAAGCCUAGGACUGAGGAUAUUUGAGAGGAAAGCCCUAGGAACACUAAACUUGAAGAGGAAGCUAAGACUGACAGUUUGUUGUGUUUUUAUUGUUUUUGAGUUCCUACUAAAGCUGGACACCAGAAGGGGAUUAUAGAAGAUUAAUCUAAGUGUGGAAGACCUGAUUUCAUAUGAAAGUCUUCAAGAUGUGACAUAUCCAAUCUUAGCAAACUCACUCUCAAAAAUUAUCUUCAUACAAUCAAAAGAAAAUGAAAGGGUCCUUCAGUGCUAUCCUGACUAAACUAUAUUUAAUAAAUUUCAAACAAUAUAUCAGUACAAUG